rnacentral:snoRNA from 1 species
GUGUACUGUACUCGAACAGGAUCACUUCUAUAGUAGAUCCGCUUGUUCACCGUCACAGCGACGGACAACACCUCAAGUCGUGAUGAUGAGGCACACAUCCUACCAAAGCUUGAAGGGAGGCUACCUGGCAACCCGGUUUAGGGUUUAGGGUUUAGGGCUAGGGGGUUAGGGUUUAUGGUUUUAGGGUUUAGGGUUUAAGGUUUAGGGUUUAGCGUUU